AUAAUGAUACUCCCAUAUAGCCAUAGUCAGGGCUUAACGGCUCGCAAAGGCAAUGGGUAGGGCUGGACUGUAAGUGCAGGGGUGGAAUUCCCGUGA
rfam:Johnsonella ignava ATCC 51276 genomic scaffold supercont1.1, whole genome shotgun sequence.